GGGCUGCUAGCUCAAUUGGAUAGAGCGCACGACUUCGGAUCGUGAGGUUGAGGGUUCAAGUCCUUCGCGGCCCGCCA
rnacentral:tRNA from 1 species